AGUGAACGCUGGCGGUAGGCCUAACACAUGCAAGUCGAACGGCAGCACAGUAAGAGCUUGCUCUUACGGGUGGCGAGUGGCGGACGGGUGAGGAAUACAUCGGAAUCUACUUUUUCGUGGGGGAUAACGUAGGGAAACUUACGCUAAUACCGCAUACGACCUACGGGUGAAAGCAGGGGAUCUUCGGACCUUGCGCGAUUGAAUGAGCCGAUGUCGGAUUAGCUAGUUGGCGGGGUAAAGGCCCACCAAGGCAACGAUCCGUAGCUGGUCUGAGAGGAUGAUCGGCCACACUGGAACUGAGACACGGUCCAGACUCCUACGGGCGGCAGCAGUAGGGAAUCUUGCGCAAUGGGCGAGAGCCUGACGGAGCAAUGCCGCGUGAGUGAUGAAGGUCUUCGUAUCGUAAAACUCUGUUAUUAGGGAAGAACAAAUGUGUAAGUAAAUAUGCCCGUCUUGACGGUACCUAAACAGAAAGCCACGGCUAACUACGUG
rnacentral:rRNA from 1 species